GCCCGAGUGGUGAAAUUGGUCGACACCGCGGACUUAAAAUCCGCUGCGCCCUCACCGCCGCGUGCCGGUCCGAUCCCGCCCUCGGGCACCA
rnacentral:tRNA from 1 species